rnacentral:rRNA from 1 species
UUAAAUAUAGUUUUUAUCCUCAUUUGCGAAAUUUUAAUCUAAGUGAAAAUACUUAGCAGUUGUACUAGGACGAGAAGACCCUAUGAAGCUGGCAAACUAUUAAUACAUAUUCCUAUUAUUUAUUAGUUUAUUUUUUGGGGUAAAAUUUAAUAAUACUAUUAACACAAUUGUACUAAAUUACAUCCUUUAGGAAUUAUGAAGAAGCUCCUCUAGGGAUAACAGCAUUAUGCUUAAAAGAGUUCUUAUCAGAAUAAGCGUUUGUGACCUCGAUGUUGAAUUAAAUGCUCUUUUAUGUGCAGGAGCUUAGAAGAGAGGGUCUGUUCGACCUAUUAUAUUUACAUGAUUUGAGUUAAAAUCGAC